rnacentral:rRNA from 1 species
UACGUAGGGUGCAAGCGUUAAUCGGAAUUACUGGGCGUAAAGCGUGCGCAGGCGGUUUUGUAAGUCUGUCGUGAAAUCCCCGGGCUCAACCUGGGAAUUGCGAUGGAGACUGCAAGGCUAGAAUCUGGCAGAGGGGGGUAGAAUUCCACGUGUAGCAGUGAAAUGCGUAGAGAUGUGGAGGAACACCGAUGGCGAAGGCAGCCCCCUGGGUCAAGAUUGACGCUCAUGCACGAAAGCGUGGGGAGCAACAGGAUUAGAAACC